GCCCAGAGCUGGGGGUGCCCGUACCACAUGUCGGGCUGAGAGAGUCCCCUUGAACCUGAACCGGUUAACACCGGCGGAGGGAAGCUCGGUCAACGGUCU
rnacentral:ncRNA from 2 species